GCCAGUGUGGCCUAGUGGUCUGAGCGCUGGACUAGGACUCUUGGAGGACCAGGGUUCAGUUCCCAGCUUGGCCA